rnacentral:lncRNA from 1 species
UCUCACAGCAAUAAAUUGACACUAGAAAAAGGAUACUAAGCCCAUUUUAAGAAUGGUGCAGAGGAAAGCCCACAACUUUAUUGCCUCUCACCAAUAGUCUAUCUGCUGUAGCUAGAAUAGCGCUGCUCACAGGUCCAUCGUAGUGCAAUCUCCUGUUACAAUGGAUUUGCAACUCUUCGAUGCCCUGGCUUAAUAGAUCCA